rnacentral:rRNA from 1 species
AACGAACGCUGGCGGCAGGCCUAACACAUGCAAGUCGAACGCCCUAGCAAUAGGGAGUGGCAGACGGGUGAGUAACACGUGGGAACGUGCCUUUCGGUUCGGAAUAACCCAGGGAAACUUGGACUAAUACCGGAUACGUGCGAGAGCAGAAAGAUUUAUCGCCGAAAGAUCGGCCCGCGUCCGAUUAGUUAGUUGGUGAGGUAAUGGCUCACCAAGGCGACGAUCGGUAGCUGGUCUGAGAGGAUGAUCAGCCACACUGGGACUGAGACACGGCCCAGACUCCUACGGGAGGCAGCAGUGGGGAAUAUUGGACAAUGGGCGCAAGCCUGAUCCAGCCAUGCCGCGUGAGUGAUGAAGGCCCUAGGGUUGUAAAGCUCUUUCGCCAGGGACGAUAAUGACGGUACCUGGAUAAGAAGCCCCGGCCUAACUUCGUGCCAGCCGCCGCAGUAAC